AUCCAGGUGACGAGUUCCAAAUAGAACGAAAUGCAUGUCCUGGAU
rfam:Schistosoma mattheei strain Denwood, Zambia genome assembly, scaffold: SMTD_scaffold0014434